CAUUCUGCCAUGGUGACUCACCAUAAUUUGGAUCCACUUGAGUUUUUAAAAGGGAAACUCUCUGUCUCUUCCUGAUUGUGCAUUAAUUCACAUAUUCCUUUAUUCAGUGAGCACAUAUUGAGUCCCUCCUUAGUACCAAGCAUUAUGUUGGAGAUACAGGAUGAAUAGGACUCUGAAAUGCUUUGAGAGAAAUGUUAAUACCUGUGUGUGUGUGUGUGUGUGUGUGUGUGUGUAUGGGUGUGUAAGUUGUAUAUAAUCACUGUCUCCACCCUCUCCAAAAAGACCAGAACUGAUUAGAAGAGAAAGACUAACUUGGUGCAUGGAAUUCUGUAUGCGUGCCAAAUACUGCUGCAAAAAAGAUUUGGCAUCUGAGUGAAAAGACACCAACCAAGCAUUUGAUUUCUAUGGUUGAACACUCUCAAGAUCUUGCUCUCCUAUAUUUCAUUUAAAAAAUUGCUCCCCGAAGUGCAAACUGACUUCAAUUUUGAAUAAAAUGUAGCAUUCAAAUUUAUAGCCACUUUGAAAACGGAGGGUUUAUUUAGAUCAUGUGAACCUGAACAGAUUCUUAAUUACAGCAGCCCUGUUGCACAUAGAGAAUCUGGGUUA